rnacentral:rRNA from 1 species
UACGGAGGGUGCAAGCGUUAUCCGGAUUCACUGGGUUUAAAGGGUGCGUCGGUGGGCAGGUAAGUCAGUGGUGAAAUCUCCGGGCUUAACCCGGAAACUGCCAUUGAUACUAUCUGUCUUGAAUACCGUGGAGGUGAGCGGAAUAUGUCAUGUAGCGGUGAAAUGCUUAGAUAUGACAUAGAACACCAAUUGCGAAGGCAGCUUACUACCCGAAUAUUGACACUGAGGCACGAAAGCGUGGGGAUCAAACAGG